GAUGAAGAACGUAGCGAAAUGCGAUAAGUAAUGUGAAUUGCAGAAUUCAGUGAAUCAUCGAAUCUUUGAACGCAUAUUGCGCCCGCCAGUAUUCUGGCGGGCAUGCCUGUCUGAGCGUCAUUUCAACCCUCAUGCCCCUAGGGCGUGGUGUUGGGGAUCGGCCAAAGCCCGCGAGGGACGGCCGGCCCCUAAAUCUAGUGGCGGACCCGUCGUGGCCUCCUCUGCGAAGUAGUGAUAUUCCGCAUCGGAGAGCGAUGAGCCCCUGCCGUUAAACCCCCAACUUUCCAAGGUUGACCUCAGAUCAGGUAGGAAUACCCGCUGAACUUAAGCAUAUCAAUAAGCGGAGGA
rnacentral:misc_RNA from 1 species